GAUAAGAUAAGCUAAUUAAGCUAAUGGGUUCAUACCCCAGUUAUAAAGGUUACAAUCCUUUUCUUUUUA
rnacentral:tRNA from 2 species